CCUGAGACCUGAUGCCGAGCCGAUUGUGGUGAAGUGGAUGAUCCUAUGCUGUCGAGAAAAGCCUCUAGCGAGUUUCAUGGCGGCCCGUACCCUAAACCGACUCAGGUGGUCUGGUAGAGAAUACCGAGGCGUUCGGGUGAACUAUGGUUAAGGAACUCGGCAAAAUGCCCCCGUAACUUCGGGAGAAGGGGGGCCACGCUUGGUGAUCCGAUUUACUCGGUGAGCUGGGGGUGGCCGCAGAGACCAGCGAGAAGCGACUGUUUACUAAAAACACAGGUCCGUGCGAAGCCGUAAGGCGAUGUAUACGGACUGACGCCUGCCCGGUGCUGGAACGUUAAGGGGACCGGUUAGCUGACUUUCGGGUUGGCGAAGCUGAGAACUUAAGCGCCAGUAAACGGCGGUGGUAACUAUAACCAUCCUAAGGUAGCGAAAUUCCUUGUCGGGUAAGUUCCGACCUGCACGAAUGGCGUAACGACUUCUCGACUGUCUCAACCAUAGGCCCGGUGAAAUUGCAUUACGAGUAAAGAUGCUCGUUUCGCGCAGCAGGACGGAAAGACCCCGGGACCUUUACUACAGUUUGAUAUUGGUGUUCGGUUCGGCUUGUGUAGGAUAGGUGGGAGACUGUGAAGCGGCCACGCCAGUGGUUGUGGAGUCGUUGUUGAAAUACCACUCUGGUCGUGCUGGAUGUCUAACCCGGGUCCGUGAUCCGGAUCGGGGACAGUGUCUGAUGGGUAGUUUAACUGGGGCGGUUGCCUCCUAAAGAGUAACGGAGGCGCCCAAAGGUUCCCUCAGCCUGGUUGGUAAUCAGGUGGUGAGUGUAAGUGCACAAGGGAGCUUGACUGUGAGACCGACGGGUCGAGCAGGGACGAAAGUCGGGACUAGUGAUCCGGCGGUGGCUUGUGGAAGCGCCGUCGCUCAACGGAUAAAAGGUACCCCGGGGAUAACAGGCUGAUCUUCCCCAAGAGUCCAUAUCGACGGGAUGGUUUGGCACCUCGAUGUCGGCUCGUCGCAUCCUGGGGCUGGAGUCGGUCCCAAGGGUUGGGCUGUUCGCCCAUUAAAGCGGUACGCGAGCUGGGUUUAGAACGUCGUGAGACAGUUCGGUCCCUAUCCGCUGUGCGCGUAGGAAUAUUGAGAAGGGCUGUCCCUAGUACGAGAGGACCGGGACGGACGAACCUCUGGUGUGCCAGUUGUUCUGCCAAGGGCAUGGCUGGUUGGCUACGUUCGGGAGGGAUAACCGCUGAAAGCAUCUAAGCGGGAAGCCUGCUUCGAGAUGAGUAUUCCCACCUCCUUGAGAGGGUAAGGCUCCCAGUAGACGACUGGGUUGAUAGGCCGGAUAUGGAAGCCCUGUAAGGGGUGGAGUUGACCGGUACUAAUAGGCCGAGGGCUUGUCCUC
rnacentral:rRNA from 1 species